UACGUAGGGACCAAGCGUUGUUCGGAUUUACUGGGCGUAAAGGGCGCGUAGGCGGCGUGGUAAGUCACUUGUGAAAUCUCUGAGCUUAACUCAGAACGGUCAAGUGAUACUGCUGUGCUAGAGUGCGGAAGGGGCAAUUGGAAUUCUUGGUGUAGCGGUGAAAUGCGUAGAUAUCAAGAGGAACACCUGAGGUGAAGACGGGUUGCUGGGCCGACACUGACGCUGAUGCGCGAAAGCCAGGGGAGCAAACGGG
rnacentral:rRNA from 1 species